AAGGUAGCGAAAUUCCUUGUCGGGUAAGUUCCGACCCGCAUGAAAGGCGUAAUGAUUUGGGCGCUGUCUCAACAAUAGACUCGGUGAAAUUUAAAUUCCAGUGAAGAUGCUGGGUACCCGCGACAGGACGGAAAGACCCCGUGGAGCUUUACUGUAGCUUGAUAUUGAAUGUUUGUGCUGCAUGUGCAGGAUAGGUAGGAGACUUUGAAGUCGGAACGCUAGUUUCGAUUGAGUCACCCUUGAGAUACUACCUCUGUUGUAUGAACGUUCUAACUCUGAUCAGUUAUCCUGAUCGAAGACAGUGUCUGGCAGGCAGUUUGACUGGGGCGGUCGCCUCCUAAAAGAUAACGGAGGCGCUCAAAGGUUUGCUCAGAAUGGUUGGAAAUCAUUCGUAGCGUGUAAAGGCAUAAGCAAGCUUGACUGUGAGACUGACAAGUCGAGCAGGUACGAAAGUAGGACUUAGUGAUCCGGUGGUUCCGUAUGGAAGGGCCAUCGCUCAACGGACAAAAGCUACCCCGGGGAUAACAGGCUCAUCUCCCCCAAGAGUCCACAUCGACGGGGAGGUUUGGCACCUCGAUGUCGGCUCAUCGCAUCCUGGGGCUGUAGUCGGUCCCAAGGGUUGGGCUGUUCGCCCAUUAAAGCGGUACGCGAGCUGGGUUCAGAAC
rnacentral:rRNA from 1 species